AUUCUGUCAUGGUCUACGGUGGGUGGCUGGAGUUUCCAUUAGGCUCCUGAACUGACCUGGGAUCCGCCCCUGGGCAGGGCCAACUCCAGCUCCUGCACACCUGGAGCCUAUUGCAGGCUAUCAAGCCAGAGGGAUUUAAACCACACAUCGAUGUUCACUCACUGCCAGUUCGUCAUCAACCCAUGUUGGUAACAGGUCUUGUGUUUCAAGUUCUCGCUGUGCGUCAUCUUACUAACUAAGACUCUUUUGUGCUACAGUCGCUGUACCCACCCUGGCUCACUCCACCUCCGGACUCGGAAUACCUAGUGAUCAUUUUGGAAAUCCCUCUGUGCCUCACCUGCCUGCCCUCCUGCCAUCACACUCCAUCUGGAGCCCCGGAUCUCAGGUCAGCCUUUCCACGCCACUCAGCCUCCCCUGGAUCUUCAUCAUCCCCCUCUCAAACACUCCAGGUCCCUAACUGCAAAUGUGACUGUUCCCCACUCAGCUCCGUUCCACUUCUCAGGCCUCGUUCCCUCGCCCUAGCCACGUUCCCCUGGGCACGCCACACCAAGGCUCCACGUCUCGUCAUUUUCUGUCUUUGCCACGUUUCCCUUUUUUUUCUGUUCCCCUUGCACUUAACCGUAAUAAACUAUUAAAUCAUCUACCGUCUCCGCUCUGGGUUCCUGCACCUGGGUCCUAUUCAGUACCGGCCAUCCGUCGCCGUGACA
ensembl:lncRNA